UCCAGUUUCAUUCUGAUUUAAAGAAACGGCUCCGAUUCACUUCAAGUCUCCAGAUCCAACCUGCAGCAGCCAACAUGGCAGAGAGUCUGUUUCCGAGUUUAACCAAAGUUUUGGGGAAAGAACUGGACCCGUCUGUGAAGAGUAACUGGGAUACAACUGGGACUGGUCUCUGCUGACCGUGGUCAAGAUUCAGAACAAGAAGUUUGGUCUGUUUGAUUCAAACAACAGAUAAAAACCACUGAGACUUAAACUGACCAAUCUUACCCAGGAAAACCUCUGUCUGUAGCCUCAAAGUAAAACACACAUGGAGGAUUACCAGAGUAUCAGCCACCAUGUUGAGGGAAUCUGUUUAGGAGGACAUAAUGGAGCCACAGGUAGAGUGGGGGCCAAGCGGGACUCUAAGGACCCAAUGUGCCCAGUGACUGAUGAAAGAGUUUGUCAGAGACGAGGACUUGGCAAAGCUACGGCACAAGACAAUCGAACUGGAGCAGGGAUUUGUGGACGGCCUUAAGAUGGAGAGCGGAGAGAAACUGGCUUUUGUGGUGCAGAGAUUCUACAACAAGGAUGAGGUCCAGGUUCUGGGCGAAGCUUCGUUUGGAGGGAUUUUUGGAAUAACAGCAUUUAGCUUUGUCGACGUCUCUGAUGAGAGUCAAAUGUCUGGAAUAAAAAGUUUCAUCCUCCCAGAAAAUAAAACCUUUGGUUUUGUUCUCCAAGAGAUGCAGCUGGAUGGAAAUACUGUGAGUUAGAGCAAAGUGUUUUAUUUUUAAAUCUGAGCCUAAUAG